AUCAAAAUAGGUACUAACCAUAUUAUAUUUUUUUUACUUUAGAGAUUAGCAGUAACAAAAUUUUUUAAGUAUCGAGUUACGUCAUAAUGUUUGUAAGUUAUUCGCUUUCGUGAAUUAUAGAAAAAUUACUCGUAUUAUGAUCUCCCCACAAACGUAUACCAGUAUAAUAAUCUGAAAACUAUUGAUAUCAAUGCUCGGUUAACAACGAGCUUAGUUUGAAGCGAAAAGCACUGAGCUGUAUUUUUUUUUAUAAUUAUCAUUAUUUAAUGAGUUAUUUAGUAAGCCGUAUUAGUAUAUUUAUUGAUUUACUCCGAUUAUACAAAUUUUAGCAUUUCCGUUGAACUUGGUAUUUUUGGAUUUAUUAAUUAAAAUAUUGGAUCUAUUCAAUUAUAUAGAACUCAGCAGUUAAUUGUAGUACUUGUUUUUCUUUUUGUACUUUCUGAACCGGUUAAUGAAGUUGUUUUUGCAAAUUUCAUAUUUUUUUUUUUUUUAACAACUAAAUUAACUCUCCUUCUCCUUUACCCACAAUCUUAAUUAUUAAACCAAUUCCUUGAGUUCUUUGAGACCAUGCCACGGGUAAUUAUGGGUAUAAAUACGAGAUCUAGUUUGUACUUAAUUUAGAAUUACAUUACUUUAGCUUAGCUGCACAUAGUUCUUAGGCAUGAGCGUAACCUCUGCCUUCAAACUUCUCUAGUAUUAAAAUUAACAAGUGUUUUUUUCUUCAACUCGGACUGAAGCUCACUGACAAACUACGACGACACGUUUUUGGGACACUACGAAAAUACUUAACGUCAGGCGACAGACCGAACGGAACAGUUUUGGGUUGUAGAGUUUCCAGAUGCACGCAUUUAAAAGGACCAGAUCAGUACUACGUUUUCGUAAUGAACAUACUGUUGAAAAAUCUAAUGGUACGAAAAGAACAAAUAAUGAGUAACUGUGCUAAAUCAUAUUGUCAUAGUCAACUUCAGUUUUGAUUUUAUAUGUCACAUCCAUCUUUAAGUUGUUGAUGUUUAAAUAGUUCAACAAUUGAUUGAUAAAGCGAAAAUGCGAGAAAUUAAGAAGAAACUGAGUUAAUACAGUGGAAAUUUGAUCGAUAACGAUUAGCCAAUUUGGUACAUCAGUACUCAUUUUUAUUAACAAACAAACUGAUUAUAAAAGAAUAUGUCAUAAAAAUAAGUUAAAAUUUUAAACCAAUAAAGGUACCUAUAAUAUUCAUAUUUAAAUUAUUACAUUUUUACUACUAUAUUACUUUAUUACUAUAAAUUAUUAUUAAUUUAUCACAUUGAUGAUAUUUUAAAUUAUGUUGAUGUAAUACACACAUUUUUAAUUUGGAUUGUUUAUUUUGAUUUUAUGGAAUUUGAAUUUAAUUCUAUGUAAUAUUUUUUAUAUUUUAAUUUAUAUUGGUUUUAAUAAAUUUGUGCGGUAUCAUACCAUUUCUGUGCGGGGAAUUAAACUACGUAUAUUUUUAUAAAUCUGUGUGGUAUGUGCGGUAUUGGAUCAUGUUUGUGUGGUAAGGGAAAUCGCUGUUAAAUAAAUAUUAAAUAUGUAUUUAUAUGUA